rnacentral:antisense_RNA from 1 species
CUUGAUCGAGCCCAGCAGCAGCGGCCGCUCCCGGUCCUGGCCGUAGGUGGCCAGCAGCGCCUGUGCCUC